rnacentral:lncRNA from 13 species
GCAGGAAAUAAGAGUCAGUGAUGACGCAAGGACUUUGCUGAGAGGACUUCCGAUACGUACAGGCUAUCAGCACUCAUAGCUCAAACCCUGCUGCACACGAAACCACAAACAGGAUUUACCAAUAUCAUAACAGGAACUGGAGCUGGACAUCUUGCGAGCUGAAGACUGAGGCUUUUGUAUGCUAGUGUCCACUCCUUAAAAGUUUACCUGGAUGAAAACACAGCAAGAAAACACAUAGGCCAAUAUGUAAUGGUCGUCUAUUUUAUUGGUUGAACAACAACUUGUUUUAGUAGAGGGAAAAAAACGGAAUAUGCAUAACCCAUAUUUAAUAUUCAUGCAGUGACUGAACAACAACUGCAUUUCCACCCCCCACCUCUGAAGGCAUACCUGUAUCAUGGCAGGUCACCUGUCAAGUCACCUGUCAGGUCAGCCAGUCAGUAAUUGCUGCAGAUGUGCUCAAUAGUGCUUGAGCAUAUGAUACUCCCAAAAGCAUGGUGAAAUACAUAGAGGUGUAUCACAAGCGAAACACAAAACGUAUUUUGUCAACUUCCUCUGCUUACUUCUCCUAGUGCCAGAUAGGCAGACUUUGCAGUGCCUCCGUGUGUGAAUACCUUGAGCAGCAGUUUGAGGGACUUUGCAGGGAAAAUCCAGUGCAGUGUCUGCAGCUGUCUGCAGCUGGACGACCCCAAGUGGAUGGGCGCCGAGGGGUGUGGUGCUCCUCCAGCAGCUCUCUCAUGAGGUUCUCUCUGUACUUUUGCCAAACGUGAAGAACAAACGGAGCUAUUUCGCCUAAGGAACAUUUGCUAUCUAACUGGGAGUCUCGUGAGUGAAAACAUCUGAAGCUCAUCAAAGGUAAACUACAAAUCAGCAGGGCUAGAUCAUCUGG